UCCGAAUGGGGAAACCCAGUGUGACUCGUCACACUAUCAUUAACUGAAUCCAUAGGUUAAUGAGGCGAACCGGGGGAACUGAAACAUCUAAGUACCCCGAGGAAAAGAAAUCAACCGAGAUUCCCCCAGUAGCGGCGAGCGAACGGGGAGGAGCCCAGAGCCUGAAUCAGCAUGUGUGUUAGUGGAAGCGUCUGGAAAGGCGCGCGAUACAGGGUGACAGCCCCGUACACAAAAGCGCAUGUGUUGUGAGCUCGAUGAGUAGGGCGGGACACGUGGUAUCCUGUCUGAAUAUGGGGGGACCAUCCUCCAAGGCUAAAUACUCCUGACUGACCGAUAGUGAACCAGUACCGUGAGGGAAAGGCGAAAAGAACCCCGGCGAGGGGAGUGAAAAAGAACCUGAAACCGUGUACGUACAAGCAGUGGGAGCACCCUUUGGGGUGUGACUGCGUACCUUUUGUAUAAUGGGUCAGCGACUUAUAUUCUGUAGCAAGGUUAACCGAAUAGGGGAGCCGGAGGGAAACCGAGUCUUAAUUGGGCGUUAAGUUGCAGGGUAUAGACCCGAAACCCGGUGAUCUAGCCAUGGGCAGGUUGAAGGUUGGGUAACACUAACUGGAGGACCGAACCGACUAAUGUUGAAAAAUUAGCGGAUGACCUGUGGCUGGGGGUGAAAGGCCAAUCAAACCGGGAGAUAGCUGGUUCUCCCCGAAAGCUAUUUAGGUAGCGCCUCGUGAAUUCAUCUCCGGGGGUAGAGCACUGUUUCGGCUAGGGGGCCAUCCCGGCUUACCAACCCGAUGCAAACUGCGAAUACCGGAGAAUGUUAUCACGGGAGACACACGGCGGGUGCUAACGUCCGUCGUGAAGAGGGAAACAACCCAGACCGCCAGCUAAGGUCCCAAAGUCAUGGUUAAGUGGGAAACGAUGUGGGAAGGCCCAGACAGCCAGGAUGUUGGCUUAGAAGCAGCCAUCAUUUAAAGAAAGCGUAAUAGCUCACUGGUCGAGUCGGCCUGCGCGGAAGAUGUAACGGGGCUAAACCAUGCACCGAAGCUGCGGCAGCGACACUAUGUGUUGUUGGGUAGGGGAGCGUUCUGUAAGCCUGUGAAGGUGUGUCGUGAGGCAUGCUGGAGGUAUCAGAAGUGCGAAUGCUGACAUAAGUAACGAUAAAGCGGGUGAAAAGCCCGCUCGCCGGAAGACCAAGGGUUCCUGUCCAACGUUAAUCGGGGCAGGGUGAGUCGACCCCUAAGGCGAGGCCGAAAGGCGUAGUCGAUGGGAAACGGGUUAAUAUUCCCGUACUUGGUGUUACUGCGAAGGGGGGACGGAGAAGGCUAUGUUGGCCGGGCGACGGUUGUCCCGGUUUAAGCGUGUAGGUGUGUGUUCCAGGUAAAUCCGGUUCACUUUAACACUGAGGCGUGACGACGAGGCACUACGGUGCUGAAGCAACAAAUGCCCUGCUUCCAGGAAAAGCCUCUAAGCAUCAGGUAACAUCAAAUCGUACCCCAAACCGACACAGGUGGUCAGGUAGAGAAUACCAAGGCGCUUGAGAGAACUCGGGUGAAGGAACUAGGCAAAAUGGUGCCGUAACUUCGGGAGAAGGCACGCUGACACGUAGGUGAAGUGAUUUACUCAUGGAGCUGAAGUCAGUCGAAGAUACCAGCUGGCUGCAACUGUUUAUUAAAAACACAGCACUGUGCAAACACGAAAGUGGACGUAUACGGUGUGACGCCUGCCCGGUGCCGGAAGGUUAAUUGAUGGGGUCAGCGCAAGCGAAGCUCCUGAUCGAAGCCCCGGUAAACGGCGGCCGUAACUAUAACGGUCCUAAGGUAGCGAAAUUCCUUGUCGGGUAAGUUCCGACCUGCACGAAUGGCGUAAUGAUGGCCAGGCUGUCUCCACCCGAGACUCAGUGAAAUUGAACUCGCUGUGAAGAUGCAGUGUACCCGCGGCAAGACGGAAAGACCCCGUGAACCUUUACUAUAGCUUGACACUGAACAUUGAGCCUUGAUGUGUAGGAUAGGUGGGAGGCUUUGAAGUGUGGACGCCAGUCUGCAUGGAGCCGACCUUGAAAUACCACCCUUUAAUGUUUGAUGUUCUAACGUGGACCCGUGAUCCGGGUUGCGGACAGUGUCUGGUGGGUAGUUUGACUGGGGCGGUCUCCUCCUAAAGAGUAACGGAGGAGCACGAAGGUUGGCUAAUCCUGGUCGGACAUCAGGAGGUUAGUGCAAUGGCAUAAGCCAGCUUGACUGCGAGCGUGACGGCGCGAGCAGGUGCGAAAGCAGGUCAUAGUGAUCCGGUGGUUCUGAAUGGAAGGGCCAUCGCUCAACGGAUAAAAGGUACUCCGGGGAUAACAGGCUGAUACCGCCCAAGAGUUCAUAUCGACGGCGGUGUUUGGCACCUCGAUGUCGGCUCAUCACAUCCUGGGGCUGAAGUAGGUCCCAAGGGUAUGGCUGUUCGCCAUUUAAAGUGGUACGCGAGCUGGGUUUAGAACGUCGUGAGACAGUUCGGUCCCUAUCUGCCGUGGGCGCUGGAGAACUGAGGGGGGCUGCUCCUAGUACGAGAGGACCGGAGUGGACGCAUCACUGGUGUUCGGGUUGUCAUGCCAAUGGCACUGCCCGGUAGCUAAAUGCGGAAGAGAUAAGUGCUGAAAGCAUCUAAGCACGAAACUUGCCCCGAGAUGAGUUCUCCCUGAGACUUAAAGUCUCCUGAAGGAACGUUGAAGACGACGACGUUGAUAGGCCGG
rnacentral:rRNA from 1 species